rnacentral:tRNA from 1 species
UCGAGUAUACUGUAACGGCUAACACUGCCGCCUUUCAUUGUAUUAUUGCCGAUGAGUGUUGCACGCGGCAGAUCGGGGUUCAACUCCCCGUACUCGAA